UACAGAGGUCUCAAGCGUUGUUCGGAUUCAUUGGGCGUAAAGGGUGCGUAGGCGGCGCGGUAAGUCGGGUGUGAAAUCUCGGAGCUUAACUCCGAAACUGCAUUCGAUACUGCCGUGCUUGAGGACUGGAGAGGAGUACUGGAAUUUACGGUGUAGCGGUGAAAUGCGUAGAUAUCGAGAGGAACACCUGCGGCGAAGGCGGGUUGCUGGGCUGACACUGACGCUGAAGCGCGAAAGCUAGGGGAGCGAACGGG
rnacentral:rRNA from 1 species